rfam:Ictidomys tridecemlineatus contig050765, whole genome shotgun sequence.
AGGGAUGUGGCUCAAGUGGUAGUGCGCUCGCCUAGCAUGCGUGAGGCACUGGGUUCAAUUCUCAGCACCACCU